GCCCGCCCCUCAGAUUUCUCAUACCGAGCCGUCAUUUGUCUCCUGAGUACCUCUGAGGUUCUCAUACUCCGGCGAAACGGAAGCAGCUUCCGGAUUCCGUCAGUCAGUCAGGCUGGAACUGUGAAGGAGUGCAGAGUUGUGAUUUUAAUCUGUUUUAAUCUGGAAUCAUCCGUACUUUUAUUGAGUGAUACUUCAAUUCCAAUGGAUAUUUUAGUUUAGUUUUAUUUGUGCUCUCUCUCUGAAGAAUUUGUUGGAUUUAUCUGAUGUCCUGUCAAUGAUCAAUCAUCGUUUUCCAGAAUUAUGAGCGAUGAAGUCAUUUAUGUUGGAGGACUCCUGAAACCCGAGUUGCACUGUCCGUGAUCGGCUAUUUCUGUGCAUAAGAAUUUAACACCCAUCGGUGAGUUUAGUCUCUGAAUCCUCGAGAUAAUUAAGAUAUUUAUCC